rnacentral:misc_RNA from 1 species
ACCUCCUUUCUAAGGAGCACCAUUUACAUGCCCUGAUCCAGGGUUUCCCCCAUGCCGGCAACAGUGCCGGGGUUCAUGGUUGGGAUUGUCGCCGGCGCCUGUAGUGGGCCGCUCCGGCGGGUGCAUAUGACAACAAACGUUCGGCCGGCUGGAAAGCGUUGGUCGUGAAGAAUUGCCAGACACACUGUUGGGUCCUGAGACAACAGGCCCGUUCGCUCCCCUCUCGGCUAGAGGGUGGGGGACGCCCCGGUUGCGGGGUGGGGGUUGUUGUUGCCUCACCGGUUUUGGUGGUGGGGUGUGGUGUUUGAUUCGUGGAUAGUGGUUGCGAGCAUC